rnacentral:rRNA from 1 species
CGCCCGUCGCUCCUACCGAUUGGGUGUGCUGGUGAGAUGUCGGGAUUAGUGGCUGUGGGCGGUUCGCCGCCCUCUGCCGCUGAGAACUUCAUCAAACCCUCCCACCUAGAGGAAGGAGAAGUCGUAACAAGGCUCCU